CUCCAGACUCCUACGGGAGGCAGCAGUGGGGAAUAUUGCACAAUGGGGGAAACCCUGAUGCAGCAACGCCGCGUGGGUGAAGGAGCGUUUCGGCGCGUAAAGCUCUAUCAGCAGGGAAGAAAAUGACGGUACCUGAUUAAGAAGCCCCGGCUAACUACGUGCCAGCAGCCGCGGUAAUACGUAGGGGGCAAGCGUUAUCCGGAUUUACUGGGUGUAAAGGGAGCGUAGACGGCAGCGCAAGUCUGGAGUGAAAGCCCGGGGCCCAACCCCGGGACUGCUUUGGAAACUGUGUAACUGGAGUACAGGAGGGGCAGGCGGAAUUCCUGGUGUAGUGGUGAAAUGCGUAGAUAUCAGGAGGAACACCGGCGGCGAAGGCGGCCUGCUGGACUGAAACUGACGUUGAGGCUCGAAAGCGUGGGGAGCAAACAGGAUUAGAUACCCUAGUAAAG
rnacentral:rRNA from 1 species